AAAUCAAAGUGCUUCAGGCGGAUACCUAAGGACUCAAAGAUGAUGAAGGGCGUAUAAACCUGCGAAAAGUUCUAGCGAGUUGGAAAAAAGCAAUAUAUAGCUAGAAAUUCCCGAAUAGAGCAAUCUUAAAAACUACUGAAUAAAUUCAUAAGUCAGUAAGAAAUAACUUAGUGAACUGAAACAUCUUAGUAACUAAAGGAAAAAAAAGCAAAAGCGAUUUCCUGAGUAGUGGCGAACGAAAAGGAAGAAGCCUAAACACUUCUUAGAAGUGGGUUGUGGGA
rnacentral:rRNA from 1 species